rnacentral:lncRNA from 10 species
CAAUAACCCACCAAUUCCGGACACAUCAUCAUCUAACUAAAUUCAAGUGAGAAUGAGGCUCUUUGAUUAUGGUUCUGGCAAUGCAGACACCCUCCUCCAAAUUCUGUGUCUUACAGUCUGGAGCACUACGAACUACAAAGAAAAGUGCCUCUGUAAGAUAAGACAAGAAGACAACACAGAAGAGGAGAGUCCUUCUCAAGGUGCUGCUCACUCCUCAGUCCUUUAAUCCAGAAUUUUCUCAUUCAAAACACCCAAGUAAGAGAUUUCCUAACUGAGCUUUUCUUAAAUUGAUUUCAUGAAACUAUAGGUUAUAUUAAGUAUCCGAAAUGGUAUGUAAUGAUGUGCAUUUUUUCUUCAGUGUAAAUCCAUGGAAAAUAUCUUUCUUCUGAGUAAAUUCAGUGAGUUAACAUAUAAUUAAUAAACUGCUUCCAUUGCACCCAUGUUUUUCCUACUCUCUUCCCUGUCCCUUCAUGUCAAUAUUCCUUUUAAGCUUGUACCCAAUUUUUCACCCUAACACAUUAGUUGAAAUGGAUUUCCUCUUUUCUACCUCUAUCUAUAACUGAUUCUUCCAAGACCUUUUUAAGAAACACUGGUAUCAGAAGUUCGAUACCAUCCUGGGCAAUGACGAAUCUCUCUCUCUCAUAUUUUGUUGUUGUUGUUUUGUUUUUGAGACGGAGUCUAGCUCUGUCACCUAGGCUGGA